UUCAUUGUACACAUUCAAACGCAUAUUAUUUAUAUUUAGUUAUUGAUGUUAAUGCUCAUAGGAGGUUAACUAAAAUAUUUAGAUUUUCGUUUUUUGUGAUUGGUUUUCCGAGUUUCGACUUUACCAAGAACUCUUAUACCGUUUAGGGGAGAUGGUAGGCUGUAUCGGGAAGAGUUGGAUAAAUACGUUUUCGUAAUUCGUUCUUUUAUGUAUUUCUUUAAAAAGCUUCGAAUCUUGAACCUAGACUCUAUCACAGCCCUCUUUAUUUAUUUGCAUUUUUGCCAUUGAUGGAACACCACUACAAAUUGUGCACAGUAAACAGCUUUCAAUUUAAGACUUUCACUAAAAGAUCUUCUGUUUCUACGGUAACGUGGCAAAAAUUAGCAAUUAAUGUUCGUUUAGCGAUAUCAUCAAAUAUUUAGUUUACGUGAUUUAUAAAGAAUUUUCAAAAAAAAUUUUCUAUUAGCGCUUUGACGGAGGAUGUUUUCAAAACUUAGUGAAUAUUUUAAGAUGUUUUAGCUGAAUAAGAUUUCUCGCAUAGAUUAUUAUGAGAAUUGAGUACUUUUUUAAAACGUAGAUGAUAAUGGUUUUUCAAUUUAAAUCUUUUUAGUUAGUCAGUAUUAACACAUUCCAGAAAAUAAUAAGCAAUUAUUUCAAUAUAAUCAAAUACAUUAAAUAAUGUUUCAUUUUCUUAGACCUUUGGAAAUAUAAUUGAUUCUCUUUAAAAACGGAAUUUUGCUGAACUUAUAAGAAGAUCUGAUAUUUUGACUGACUCCAAUAUAUGAGUGUUAGCAGAAGCAAGGGAGCUUGAGUCAGCCUAAGAUCAAUAACUGGAUUCCCGGCACUACAGAGUAGAGAGAGCCUGAACUACGAACGAUCUUCCCAGUUCAUGGAAUAAGGUUUAAAAAAUGGCCGCUACAGGGGCCGUUGUUGACUUUAUGUCGUCUGCAUCAGGAGUCGGUCCGCUUAAUGAAGGAGAUACAAUUCACUGCAAUAUUGUCGGUGUCAUGUCCCUGGGUCCCAAGAUCAUGCGGUUCGUUUUGAACCUGGAAUGUGAAGACAAGCCAUGCAAUGAAACCUACAGGCAUGGAGCGCCGGCGCGGAGGCCCUUACUCGAAUAAGAUCGUGAGCUUGCAGGGAUUUCUUCGAUGCCACCGACCUGAGGGCGACGCAGUGGGCAGAAAUUGUGACGCGUCGCGUGGGGGACGUCGAACUUCAGCUGCGGGGCCUUGAAUGCGAGUACGACCUCCAUGACGACCUCCUCCAGCCAC
rnacentral:lncRNA from 1 species